CCUACGUGAGGCAGCAGUGGGGGAUAUUGCACAAUGGGGGGAACCCUGAUGCAGCGACGCCGCGUGGGUGAAGAAGCGCCUCGGCGCGUAAAGCCCUGUCAGCAGGGAAGAAAAUGACGGUACCUGACUAAGAAGCCCCGGCUAACUACGUGCCAGCAGCCGCGGUAAUACGUAGGGGGCAAGCGUUAUCCGGAUUUACUGGGUGUAAAGGGGGCGCAGACGGCGAUGCAAGCCAGGAGUGAAAGCCCGGGGCCCAACCCCGGGACUGCUCUUGGAACUGCGUGGCUGGAGUGCAGGAGGGGCAGGCGGAAUUCCUGGUGUAGCGGUGAAAUGCGUAGAUAUCAGGAGGAACACCGGUGGCGAAGGCGGCCUGCUGGACUGCAACUGACGUUGAGGCCCGAAAGCGUGGGGAGCAAACAGGAUUAGAUACCCUUGUAGUC
rnacentral:rRNA from 1 species